rnacentral:rRNA from 1 species
UACGUAGGGGGCAAGCGUUGUUCGGAAUUACUGGGCGUAAAGGGCGCGUAGGCGGCACAGCAAGUCGGGUGUGAAAUCUCGGAGCUUAACUCCGAAACUGCAUUCGAUACUGCCGUGCUUGAGGACUGGAGAGGAGACUGGAAUUUACGGUGUAGCGGUGAAAUGCGUAGAUAUCGUAAGGAAGACCAGUGGCGAAGGCGGGUCUCUGGACAGUUCCUGACGCUGAGGCACGAAGGCCAGGGGAGCAAACGGG